GCAGAAGGCAGGGCCUAGUCAGAAGAAGCAGGUCACAUUGGAAGGGAAGUGUCAUGGGCUGAGCCUUGCUGUCCUUUCCCCACUUGUCUCUGCUUCCUUCCUGCCCCAUGAGUGAACUACCCUCCUUGGUCUGGCUGAGCCCUUCCACCAUGAUGAAGGGAACCCUCUAAAACCAUGAGCCCAAGGAGAGGUCCCGAAGCUACCAG
rnacentral:lncRNA from 1 species